GGAUAGCUGAAUUGGUUAGCGUAUGGUGCUGAUAAUGUCAAGGUUGCAGGUUCGAUCCCUGUAUGGGACA